rnacentral:rRNA from 1 species
AAUUAAUGGGGCGUAAAGCGUGGGCAGGGGGGUUUUGUAAGACAGAGCGUGAAUCCCCGGGCUCAACCUGGGAAUUGCGCUUGUGACUGCAAGGCUAGAGUAUGUCAGAGGGGGGUAGAAUUCCACGUGUAGCAGUGAAAUGCGUAGAGAUGUGGAGGAAUACCGAUGGCGAAGGCAGCCCCCUGGGACGUCACUGACGCUCAUGCACGAAAGCGUGGGGAGCAAACAGGAUUAGAUACCCUGGUAGUCCACGCCCUAAACGAUGUCAACUAGUUGUUGGGGAUUCAUUUCUUCAGUAACGAAGCUAACGCGUGAAGUUGACCGCCUGGGGAGUACGGUCGCAAGAUUAAAACUCAAAGGAAUUGACGGGGACCCGCACAAGCGGUGGAUGAUGUGGAUUAAUUCGAUGCAACGCGAAAAACCUUACCUACCCUUGACAUGCCACUAACGAAGCAGAGAUGCAUCAGGUGCCCGAAAGGGAAAGUGGACACAGGUGCUGCAUGGCUGUCGUCAGCUCGUGUCGGUGAGAUGUUGGGUUAAGUCCCGCAACGAGCGCAACCCUUGUCUUUAGUUGCUACAAAAGGGCACUCUAGAGAGACUGCCGGUGACAAACCGGAGGAAGGUGGGGGAUGACGUCAAGUCCUCAUGGCCCUUAUGGGUAGGGCUUCACACGUCAUACAAUGGGCGUACGGAGGGUUGCGAACCCGCGAGGGGGAAGCUAAAUCCCAGAAAACGCAUCGGAGUCGGGAUCGUAGUCUGGAAACUCGACUACGGGAGCUGGAAUC